UUGUGGUUUGACCAUCUUUCAUACUUAGAUUGCCUCUAGGUAAUCCAACAAGCCCAUAAUUUGGUGAAGCUCCUAGAUUACCUUGGGCCUGGGCUUGUGUCAAGGCAUGUUGCUGCUGUGAUGCCAAAUAGAACUGAUUUUGAUUCUGCAUAUUGGGCUUUUGUACUUGCAAACCCAUAUUGGGCCGUAAAUUGUCGAUACCCUUUAGAGGCCAACCCUUUAAUGGAAGAGCAGUAACACCUUGAUUCAAUCCUGAAAUGAUGGGGAUGGAGAUAAUAAAAAUAAAAAUCCAUUUAUAUCAUAUAAUAAAGCGUUGAGUUUUUAUGCUGUCGAUUGUUGUUUGUUCACAAUCAUUCAUCCGAAAUUAAGAAAUAACAAUCAGAAUAAACGUCUUAACAGGUCAAAAGUCAAAACAGGUCUGGGUUGAAACCAGUCAUUUUUUAGCAAGGUUGAGAUGUGCCAGUCAGUGGCGAAGCUUGAAAAUUUCCACCGGGGGGUCGAAAGUUACCGGACCUAAAAAUUCUAU
rnacentral:lncRNA from 1 species